ACAGACAUUCAGCUCUGUUUAACACUGGUCCUAGAUCAGUUAUAUAUAUAUAUAUAUAUAUAUCACCUCUCUAAUGGUGACCUGUUCAACACUGGUCCUAGAUCAGUUAUAUAUAUAUAUAUAUAUAUCACCUCUCUAAUGGUGACCCGUUAGGACUGAUCCUAGAUCAAUCAGUUAUAUAUAUAUAUAUAUCACCUCUCUAAUGGUGACCUGUUCAACACUGGUCCUAGAUCAGUUAUAUAUAUAUAUCACCUCUCUAAUGGUGACCUGUUAGGACUGGAGGGAGGAAACUGAUCCUAGAUCAGUUAUUAACAUUUACAUUUUAGUCAUUUUAGCAGACGCUCUUAUCCAGAGCGACUUACAGUAGUGAAUGCAUACAUUUCAGACAUUUCCCCCCCCCGUAUUGGUCCCCCGUGGGAAUCGAACCCACAACCCUGGCGUUGCAAACACCCAUGCUCUACCAACUGAGCCACACGGGACCCAUAUAUAUAUAUAUAUCUCUCACCCCUCGUUAGGACUGGAGGGAGGAAGCUGUUCCUAGAUUCAAAUCCGAUCUCCUCUUUUCGGCUGUGCACCUUAUUAAAAGGUAAAGUUUCCACGUUAACAGUAGGCUCAAUCCUAAAUUACCUUUUUGGUUUUUUUAAAGGUGAACUAUAACCCGGAUCUUCUGCGGAUCAGAUUGAAUCUAGCCAAGGGCUAUUUCUUUCUGGUCCUGGAGGGACGAAACACUACUGGUUCUCAUCCUCUACCUGUAAUCCGAGACUCGUUCAGACCCGAGACUCAUUCAGACCUGGGGACAACAGGUUGAGACUCAUUCAGACCUGAGACUCAUUCAGACCUGGGGACAUCAGGUAGAGAGACUCAUUCAGACCUGGGGACAUCAGGUAGAGAGACUCAUUCAGACCUGGGACUCAUUCAGACCUGGGGACAUCAGGUAGAGAGACUCAUUCAGACCUGGGACUCAUUCAGACCUGGGGACAUCAGGUAGAGAGACUCAUUCAGACCUGGGGACAUCAGGUAGAGAGACUCAUUCAGACCUGGGGACAUCAGGUAGAGAGACUCAUUCAGACCUGGGGACAUCAGGUAGAGAGACUCGUUCAGACCUGGGGACAUCAGGUAGAGAGACUCAUUCAGACCUGGGGACAUCAGGUUGAGACUCAUUCAGACCUGGGGACAUCAGGUAGAGAGACUCAUUCAGACCUGGGGACAUCAGGUAGAGAGACUCAUUCAGACCUGGGGACAUCAGGUAGAGAGACUAAUUCAGACCUGGGGACAUCAGGUAGAGAGACUCAUUCAGACCUGGGGACAUCAGGUAGAGAGACUCAUUCAGACCUGGGACUAAUUCAGACCUGGGGACAUCAGGUAGAGAGACUCAUUCAGACCUGGGGACAUCAGGUAGAGAGACUCAUUCAGACCUGGGGACAUCAGGUAGAGAGACUCAUUCAGACCUGGGGACAUCAGGUAGAGAGACUCAUUCAGACCUG
rnacentral:lncRNA from 1 species